UUGAGCUAGAUGGAGAAGCAGGGCACGUGCAUUACUAACUCGCACAUUUUCUAUGCUUCUAGAUAUAGAUAUAGAUAUAGAGAUACAUAUAAAUACGAGUAUAAAUAAUGCUCGCUUUUAUAUAUUCUCUUAUGUAGAUUGAUUUAUCUAAAUUGUGAGUUGCAGUGGUGAGUUAGUCCUUUCAUGUGCCCAUCUUCCCCAUCAUGCCCAC
rnacentral:pre_miRNA from 1 species